ACGCUCGACACCUACGGGAGGUAGCAGUGGGGAAUAUUGCACAAUGGGGGAAACCCUGAUGCAGCGACGCCGCGUGGAGGAAGAAGGUCUUCGGAUUGUAAACUCCUGUUGUUGGGGAAAAAGAGGAUGGUACCCAACAAGGAAGUGACGGCUAACUACGUGCAGCAGCCGCGGUAAUCUGAGCGGGCUGGCAAGGC
rnacentral:rRNA from 1 species